rnacentral:rRNA from 1 species
GAUGAACGCUGGCUGCGUGCCUAAUACAUGCAAGUCGAGCGAACGGACGAGAAGCUUGCUUCUCUGAUGUUAGCGGCGGACGGGUGAGUAACACGUGGAUAACCUACCUAUAAGACUGGGAUAACUUCGGGAAACCGUAGCUAAUACCGGAUAAUAUUUUGAACCGCAUGGUUCAAAAGUGAAAGACGGUCUUGCUGUCACUUAUAGAUGGAUCCGCGCUGCAUUAGCUAGUUGGUAAGGUAACGGCUUACCAAGGCAACGAUGCAUAGCCGACCUGAGAGGGUGAUCGGCCACACUGGAACUGAGACACGGUCCAGACUCCUACGGGAGGCAGCAGUAGGGAAUCUUCCGCAAUGGGCGAAAGCCUGACGGAGCAACGCCGCGUGAGUGAUGAAGGUCUUCGGAUCGUAAAACUCUGUUAUUAGGGAAGAACAUAUGUGUAAGUAACUGUGCACAUCUUGACGGUACCUAAUCAGAAAGCCACGGCUAACUACGUG